rnacentral:rRNA from 1 species
CAAUGGGGGAAACCCUGAUGCAGCGACGCCGCGUGGAGGAAGAAGGUCUUCCGAUUGUAAACUCCUGUUGUUGAGGAAGAUAAUGACGGUACUCAACAAGGAAGUGACGGCUAACUACGUGCCAGCAGCCGCGGUAAUACGUAGGGGGCAAGCGUUAUCCGGAUUUACUGGGUGUAAAGGGAGCGUAGACGGUGUGGCAAGUCUGAUGUGAAAGCCCGGGGCUCAACCCCGGUACUGCAUUGGAAACUGUCGUACUAGAGUGUCGGAGGGGUAAGCGGAAUUCCUAGUGUAGCGGUGAAAUGCGUAGAUAUUAGGAGGAACACCAGUGGCGAAGGCGGCUUACUGGACGAUAACUGACGCUGAGGCUCGAAAGCGUGGGGAGCAAACAGGAUUAGAUACCCUGGUAGUCCAAGGGCGAAUUC